rnacentral:lncRNA from 1 species
GAGAGUGCGAGUGUGGGGGUGUGUGGCUGAGUGAGUGAAUAAGAGAGAGAAAGGUUGCAAAUUAGGGUUUUAAGAAAAAGUAAAAAAAAAAGGUAAAUGGUAAAAGUAAAAAGAUACUUCUGGAAUAAAGGAAAAUUGAGGAGGUGGAGGGAGAAGGUGUGGAGGUAAAAGGAGUAGCACCCAUUUUCUCACUGCAUAUUUAGCCGCCUGACCCUUUGGUUGAUCGGGUGGUCCUAUCGUACACAAGCCCCGCAAGCCCAAGCAAACUCUUUAUUGGAAGAUGUGUGUUAGGUUAGGUGAGCCCGAGAGAGACGAUUCACGUUGUAUUUUCCAUGCAUUUUAAGUCUUCAUUGUUCUCUGCACCGAGCAGCGGG